CCACCCCCAGUGAAAUCCUGGCACCCAGAGAGCACUCCUUUCAGCCUGAGAGCCCACAACCAGCCGUUGUCCCCUGGCAAAAGAGGCCCAAUGCUGAGCCCUGGGCAAGUGUCUCAGACUUUGCUACCCCUGCUUCCCUUAUUAUUAUAGUUUCCCUUCCCAGCAGACACCAUUUCCAUUUGCCAUCAAAACUAGAUUGCAUCCAAAAGUUUCUCACAAGCUUAAAAAAGAAAAAAACGACAAAUUGCCAACCAUUACACAGAAGAGCCCACAAAAGCUGCUACAGCACCAGGGGUGAAGCAGGACCAUCAGACUCAGGGAAGGAGCGCAUCUCUCUAAAUGAAAGAGGUGAACCAGGAGGAAAAGGAACAGCAGCAAAAAUGGGAUGACUGAUGACAAGAGACACCCGGCUCGGAGAGUGGCAGGCAGAGUCUGUCUGUGCUUGUGUUGGAGCGGGGGUUGGCAUAGACAACAUCAGAAUAAUGUCUUGAGGAAAACUCCAAUACAAAUAUCUGCUAUUCAGGGCUGGGUUUGACCCUGCAUAUAGCUGAUACCAGAAGCUUUCCCAGGCUUAUCCACCUAGGCCCUGAGCUGGACUUGGGGAAACUGGAGCCAGAUAUUCUGCCCAGCAAGACCCCGAAGGUCUGCAGGACACAUCGAAGAACUCUCCCAAGUCACGCAAGGGAGAAAAUGAAAUUUUCCACUGGCCUCUAUCAGGAAAGCUAUUCCUCCUCCCCCCAUUUCUUUCAAGUUUCCCAAAUCUCAUAACUCUGAUUUCCAGGCCAAGAAAAAGGUUGUAUUUCUACUAUUCUUUAUACUUCGCAUAUGGACAGUCACUGAAGGAACAUUACGAGGGGUUAAUUGUUGUGAGCCUGCUGUGGGUAAGGCCCAGACUCAGGUGCUGCAGAGGGAAUUCAGUCAUGUCUGCGCAGUGACUGGUGAGCCCCAAGUCAGCUUCUACUUUCUCCUAACAGACAGAAUUCUCCUCCUCUCUGCCUAGAAAUAGCAGGGUUGGAGUGGUCAUUCAAUAUUUAAGAGGACUGAAAUUCUAGAUAUGGGAUUUCUGACUUAGGACCUAAACGACAAUUUCUUAAGUAAGAAACUGUGCCAAACAUAAACAUUUUAACUUAAAACCAUUGGUUUAAGGGAAAUAGAAACAUGAAGGCCAGCAGGUGGUGUGGUGGUUAAGGAUGCUGGACUCCCACAUGG